ACGGAUCUUAUCGACUACCUCGACCGUCCUUUCAACCAUUUAUGGUCUCAUCCCAAUGAACAGGGGAUCUACAUCUUCUACCAUAGAGAGUUUCGUAUGGUGCCAUUCCAAUAGUUGCUUGUAAACUUUUCCAAAAUUUGGACGUGAACCUUGGGUCUCUGUCAGACACAAUGGAUAUAGGUACACCGUGUAAUCUCACAACCUCUUUAAUAUACAACUGUGCUAAUUGGUCUAAACUGAAUGUCAUUUUCACUGGA
rnacentral:lncRNA from 1 species